GAGAAUGUAGUUCAAUGAUAAUAUGCUUGGCUAGUAUCCAUAAGGUCCUAGGUUCGAUUCCUGGUAAUGGGA
rnacentral:tRNA from 1 species